UACUCGACGCUGGAGCGCGCUCGUGUUAAACAAUGGGGAGAAAGGAGCAGGAAAUUAAAAAGCAAAAAGCUGUUGCAAAAUCUUGCCAAACAUUGGAUGGCUGAGUCAACAAAAAAUACCGUGAAGAUAGGAAUGAAUGCCUACCACCCGAUUUAGAAGAACAGUAUGCGAACCAAAAGUAAGAUGAACGGUUGUCCUGAAGGAUCAUCACGGAGAAUUCUUUAGGUAUCACACCAUUAUUGGCAUUCUUUGAGUUCCCCUGGAUUUCCAUUCAAAUAUCGUAGAAAAAUGAUGUACACUAAUAGGAAUCUACAAAAUAUUGGACGAGGACCGUCACGCUAGAAAAGCGACACAUGCGAUAAUUCAUUGUUCAAACUAAGUUACUACAGUACGGCGGAAGCAGGAGAGUAUUACUUCGUUAUACAGCAUGUGGUCAAACUUACCAUUUUAGUGAGUGUUGCUGAUACAAAGGCGUGUG